AUUGAACGCUGGCGGCAGGCCUAACACAUGCAAGUCGAACGAGUGGCGGACGGGUGAGUAAUGUCUGGGAAACUGCCCGAUGGAGGGGGAUAACUACUGGAAACGGUAGCUAAUACCGCAUACCAUCGGAUGUGCCCAGAUGGGAUUAGCUAGUUGGUGGGGUAACGGCUCACCAAGGCGACGAUCCCUAGCUGGUCUGAGAGGAUGACCAGCCACACUGGAACUGAGACACGGUCCAGACUCCUACGGGAGGCAGCAGUAGGGAAUAUUGCACAAUGGGCGAAAGUCUGAUGGAGCAACGCCGCGUGAAUGAAGAAGGUUUUCGGAUUGUAAAGCUCUUUUGGUGGUGAAGCGUUAAUCACACAAGAAGUCACGGCUAACUCCGUGCCAGCAGCCGCGGUAAUAC
rnacentral:rRNA from 1 species